GCUGGGUGUGGUGGCGCGCGCCUGUAAUCCUAGCUACUCGGGAGGCUGAGGCAGGGGAAUUGCUUGAACCCAGGAGGUAGAGGUUGCAGUGAGUGGAGAUUGCACCAAUGCACUCCAGCCUGGGUGACAAAGCAAGACUCUGUCUCCG
rnacentral:SRP_RNA from 1 species